rnacentral:rRNA from 1 species
UCCGUAGGUGAACCUGCGGAAGGAUCAUUGCUGUGGAACAAUAUUUCAUGGGUUUGGUCGUUAGGCCAAAUCCAUGGGCUAUGUUUAUGCGUGUUUUGUGUGGCAGAUUAAUACAGAGAAACAGAGACAACUUUUAACAAUGGAUCUCUUGGCUCUUGCAACGAUGAAGAACGCAGUCAAGUGCGAAAUUAAAUGCGAUUUGCAUGAAUCUGUGAGUCAUCAUGUCUUUGAACGCAACUUGCGCCAUGUUAAGUGGCAUGUCCAUCUGAGCGCCGUAUAAUUAUUUGGGUGGUAAUUGGUGAGGAGGGUAUUGUGUGUGUUGGUAUGGCGUAUGGUCAUGCUAUGCAUAUACGGUAUCACUUACCCAUGUACCCUGUGUUGCUGGGCAUGAAGCCUGGUUGAACAAUGUCCUGUUUAUAGGAAUGUGUUAGAGGCAGUGAUUUGGUGGGGACUCAAUCGUCAAGAUUGUGGACUAUCGAUCGUCAAGUCUUCUCAUUCCGUGAACAACGUAGAGGGGGAAAGGAUGCUAAACACAUCUAACCCCCCCUUACGCACACACACUUGGCCUCAGAUUGGGGCAGGGAUUACCCGGGCUGGAACUUAAGGCCAUAUCAAUAAGGCGGGAGGGAAGGUCGGACUGGCCAAGGGGCACACAGGGGGGGGA